UUUGUACUCCCUCCGUCCCAAAAUUCUUUUCUUAAAUUUGUCUAAAUACGGAUGUAUCUAGUUACAUUUUAGUAUUAGAUAAAUCUGUAUCUAAACAAAUGUAAGACAAGAAUUUUGGGACGGAGGGAAUACUAC
rnacentral:pre_miRNA from 1 species